rnacentral:sRNA from 1 species
GGAACUCCAUACUGAUUUCAAUAUGGCUACACUAAUGUCCAUUUGUAAAGAUCUCCCACCCUCUGUGCACAUCAGCAUCUUCCCUCUUGACUUGCUUUGAGCCUAAAAUCUGAUCUGGUUUGAAGAAAGUUUCAUGAACUGCUGAGAAGAACCCAUUUACCACAGGUAUUGGGUGAAAUAAUUCUGCUGGUGUCUUGCGAAGCAUUCCUAAUCUGAAAAUCUAGAAUCCAAAAGGAUCUGAAAUGUGAAGCUUCUGAGAGUUGUGAUGUCGAAGUAGGUCUGUGUGUCUCGGAGGCAGAGUAUGAGGUGCUGUUGAUGGACUCAGGGUCUUCUUGCAUGCUUAGCAGGUACAUUAUCUAUGCCACCACCUAGCUAACCCUCUUCUGAUGCUUAAAUCCUGAGCAGUUCCCGCAGUGAUAUACUGUAUCCAUGCACUCUCCAUAGCGAUACACUGUAUCCAUGCACUCUCCACAAGCAGUGGGGGGGAUUUUAGUGGUCUUUGCUACAAUGGGUACACAGGAUGAUAGACAGAACCCUGCCAAGGUGCCCUAAGGUUAAUAUGAAAAUAACCUGCCAAGACAUAAGUGGGAAAGAUGGAGAGUGAUGGGCAGCAUAGACUGUAGGUCACAAACCUACCAACACGGGGAAGCUUCGUGUAUACUUAAUAUUGUUUAAAAUAGCAUUGGCUGCCAGGCAUGGUGGACACACCUUUAAUCUCAGCAUUCUGGAGGCAGAGGCAAGCAGAGUGAGUCUCAGGACAGGCAGGGCUGCACAUAAUAAUCCUAUCUCAAAAAACUAACAAACGAACAGCAUUAACGAGCAUCCAGCCUAGUGUCCAGAAUACCCUACACUGCUCUCUCCCUCAGAGUCCUCCCACUGCACUAUGCUUGUGUUCUCCUCCUCAUCCUCCUCCAUUGUGUCCAUGCUCCUUUCCUUACGUCCUCCCUACCCUGUGCUCAAGCUCCUCCUCCAUCAUCCUAUUUCCUGAAUUAUGUCUACCAGUUUGUGGAUUUUGGAGACAGGGACUUUCUGGUCAGUUUCAUUCCUUGUGGAACAUUUGUUACAUGGCUGACUCUUUUUGUUGGUUUUUUUUUUUUUUUUAAUGCCCUUGGUAUAAGCAGUAAGCAAUGGACUUUAAGGCUAGAGCUGCCAGACCCAUUGGUCAGUCUUAAGGCGUUAUGCUUAAAUGUGCCUCCAGACUACCGUGUUUACCCUUAGUUCCCAGUUGCUAUGGCUAAUCUUGGUCAUCAACUUGAUAUACAUGGGAAAACAGAACAUCAAUUGAGGCACUGCCUUCAUCAGAUUGGCUUGUGUAUGUCUAUGGGCGGGGCAUUUUCUUGAUUGUUAACUGAUAGAAGAAGGCUUAGCUCGCUGUGGGUUGAGCCCCCACCCUGGGCAGGUGGUCCAUGAACCUGGAAACAAGCAGAAAGAAACCAUGGUUUCCGAAUCAAGCUACUUCUCUCGAUGAUGGACUAUAAUUUGUAAGGCAAAUAAAUCCUUCCCUUUUCUCCCCCAAGUUUCUUUUGGUCACAGAUUCUGAACACAGCAACAAAAAUCUAGGAGAGUAGCUGAAUGGUGUUGGUAAGUCGCUGACUUCAUUAUCAGAUAACUUAGUGAUGACUUCUGGGCUGAGGAAGCCAUAAGAGUGUGGUCCUGGCUGGGGGAGGACCACUGACACACACCCUGAGGGCUGUGACCUAUGUGCCUGUCCCCAGCUCCUUCCUGGGUCUGCCUCUCCACCACUAGGCCAGCAGCUUUGUCCCACACUUGCUCCUGCAGGAUGCUCAGUCGCACCAGCUCCCCACACUGGCUUGACACUGGGGCCAGAUGGAGGGGUACAGGAUGCUCAGGAACCAUGAACCCUGACAUACUCUCACUGAAGUUGUUCCUGUCAGGCAUCUCGUCACAACCAGAAAAUCCGGACACAUGUGCAGUGUGUCCACAGGACCUGUCACAGCCCUUUCUGGGGCUAAUAAUGCCAGCAGACUUGCUGGUCAGAGCUUGGAGUCUGAUACCUGGAGUCCUGCUUCCUGGUCUCUGCAGCCAGACGCACUCUACAGGCUCAAUAGGCAGGGUGGGGGAGGGGCUGAGACCCUGUAGUGACUCGAACUCUGGAUCAGGAUUUUUGACCUCAGUUUCCUGACUAUAAACUGAGAGGUUUCAGAAAGUAUUCCCUGGGGAAGUGGGACCAGGCAGACAUGGCCACUGCACCCCCAGCAUCCCAGCCUGAGGCACAGCUGGUUCUGAUUGUGGGGGCUCAGCUCCCCUUGGUGAAGUGAGCAUGUCAGGCAAAGACUGAAACUUAACCCCAGUCCUCAUCCCACUCCUCUCCAGGAGGAGCACAGAGGAGCCCUCCCAGUGGAUCCCUGUCUCCUGGGGUGAAGCUCCCAGGAAGUGGAUCUGGGGAAGCUCCAGCCAUGAGGACUAUGAAAAUAAACUGCCAACGAUGUGAAUGGGACAGAUUCAAAGUGAUGGAAGAUUUUCAGAGACCGCAGGCUGCACGCUGCGACAGGGAUCCAGAGAUGAACAUCUGCUUUUGGUGAGGGACGGAGCCCUGGUCCAGCAUCAAGUCAGCCAACCCACCUACCAGGGCAUCUGCCUGGGUCCUCACCAACAGACAUGGGUGCAGAACUGAAGCCAGGCAGCCACCGGGCCAGAUCCCCCACCCAGGUCUGAUAUCUGACUCUGGGCAACCCCAAUCUAAAGACAUUAAUAAAACUUUCUAAAAAAUGGUUCUUUCAUCUGAACUGACCCAUCCUCUGUGUGGCGUGGUAAAAUUUCAUGGCCUUGGGCUCAGUACUGCCUCUGUGUAUGUGAGUCACCCCUCUGUCUAGCUUUUUACAUCACCCACCCUGUAGUGGCCUGGGAGUUAUUUCCACAAUCAGAUCAACUGCCACCAUAUACCAAAGACCAGCCAUGAAAGUCCUUCCUUCGGGUGAAAAAGGGAAACUCGCAGUGUAAUAAACAAAUUAAAAACCAGCUUGUAGUGCUUGCUAAGAUCUGGGUAAGGAUGUUCCAGGGUUGGGCGUGGCAGUAAACUUUUAGCAAUCCUCCUGCUUCAGCCUCCUGGUGCUGGAAUUACAAAUGUGUGCCACUGUGCCCAGUUGCUGUUUUUAGUUUCUGGCCAUGGCUGAAUUUUAGCUUAUAAAAUCAUAGAUGAAAGAAAAGUAGUCAAGCCAGACACUGCGUGAGGUUUCAGACAACCAAUGGGCUCUUAGAAGACAUUCCCUAGGGGGCUGGAGAGAUGGCUCAGCGGUUAAGAGCACUGACUGUUCUUCCAAAGGUCCUGAGUUCAA